GCCUAGAGAGGGGUCAAUGUCCUAUCAGCUAGUUGGUAGGGUAAUGGCCUACCAAGGCGAAGACGGGUAGCCGGCCUGAGAGGGUGGUCGGCCACACUGGGACUGAGACACUGCCCAGACUCCUACGGGAGGCUGCAGUCGAGAAUCUUUCGCAAUGCCCGAAAGGGUGACGAAGCGACGCCGCGUGUGGGAAGAAGGCCUUCGGGUUGUAAACCACUGUCGGGAGUUAAGAAAUGUAAGGGUGCUAAUAGUAUCCUUACUUGACUAAGGCUCCGGAGGAAGCCACGGCUAACUCUGUGCCAGCAGCCGCGGUAAUACAGAGGCGGCAAGCGUUGUUCGGAAUUAUUGGGCGUAAAGAGCACGUAGGCGGCCUUGUAAGUCAGUUGUGAAAGCCUUCUGCUUAACGGAAGAACAGCAUCUGAUACUGCAAGGCUAGAGUGCGGAAGGG
rnacentral:rRNA from 1 species